CGCGAAUACAACCGGAAGUACGUGGUUUUAUAAACCUCUUUUCAAUCUGCGCAUGCUCACCAGUACGUUUCGCUACGAUACGGUUGAAGUGGAAAACCGGCUUAAGAGGUAUCAAAGAAAAGCUAACAGCUCUUUUGUCCUAUGUAAACAUUAUUUGUUUAGCUAAGUUUGUGAUGCACAUCAUGCCUGGUUUCAAUGUGAAUGGUAUUUUAAAAAUAAAAUUUUAACUUUUUCCAACGUUCACGUGUUUCUGAAAACUUCCGAAAGUUUUUGAGCGAUGGGAUAAAUAUGGCUUUUGGCGCCAAACGCUGCGAAUAGUUAAUUAAUUCAAUUAAUUAUAUCAGUGGCUAGCUUUUUCACAUGUCCUUUUUUUGGUUUUUAUUUUUUUAGUAUUUUUUAUGUUUCAAUUAACGGAAAUUUAGUACACUUCAUGAAAAACAAAUUAUCCGGUAUCCGGCCGGAUAGUAAAUAGUAAAUAUCCGGCAGGAUAGUACGAUUUUGCCACUAUCCGGCCGGAUACUAUAUCCGGUGCACCCCUAUCAAUAACUCAUCUGGACUGAAAUUGUUUUGUUUUAUAUUACUAUCAAGUUAUUGGUGAUCAUAAAACUUCCAAAUCCUUAUAAUCCUUAUAAAUGCCCAACCCCCGGAAUGCAAUGCUUUAUAGGAAAAUAUUCCACGGUGGGGGGGGGGGGCACACUUGGAUUUGACUGAUGAAUAAAAGAUACUCGUGUGGUAGUUACCCCAUCAAACCUUUAAAACUGAGCAUACAAUUCGAAUUCAUAUAUUGUGGUUACCAGUUUCUGAAAUAAACAUGCCAUCAGACAAAAUAUUUC
rnacentral:lncRNA from 1 species